rnacentral:rRNA from 1 species
UUGACCUCAGAUCAGGUAGGACUACCCGCUGAACUUAAGCAUAUCAAUAAGCGGAGGAAUCCUAGUGAUUCC